rnacentral:rRNA from 1 species
GACAACCAGGAGGUUGGCUUAGAAGCAGCCACCCUUUAAAGAGUGCGUAAUAGCUCACUGGUCAAGUGAUUCCGCGCCGACAAUGUAGCGGGGCUCAAGCACAUCACCGAAGCUGUGGCAAUGACACACUGACCCUUAACGGGGGUGUUGUUGGGUAGGGGAGCGUCGUGUGGCGAGUGAAGCGGCCGAGUGAUCGAGUCGUGGAUGCUACACGAGUGAGAAUGCAGGCAUGAGUAGCGAAUGACGGGUGAGAAACCCGUCCGCCGAAUAACCAAGGGUUCCAGGGUCAAGCUAAUCUGCCCUGGGUAAGUCGGGACCUAAGGCGAGGCCGACAGGCGUAGUCGAUGGACAUCCGGUUGAUAUUCCGGAACCGGCGAAGAAGCUAAUCUGCCCUGGGUAAGUCGGGACCUAAGGCGAGGCCGACAGGCGUAGUCGAUGGACAUCCGGUUGAUAUUCCGGAACCGGCGAAGAACCGCCCAUACUGAACCAUGGGAUGCUAAACACCCGAACCAUGCCAACCGGUCCUUCGGGAUCAUCUGGUGUGGGGAGCGUGUGACCCGAUCGUGUAGUAGGUAAGCGAUGGAGUGACGCAGGAAGGUAGCCUCCGCGGGGCGAUGGUAGUCCCCGUCCAAGCAUGUAGGCCCACUGGUAGGUAAAUCCGUCAGUGAUGUGGCUGAGAUGUGAUGGUGACCACGUAUGUGGGAAGCAGGGUGAUCCUAUGCUGUCGAGAAAAACUUCUAGCGAGGUUCGAGCCGCCCGUACCCCAAACCGACUCAGGUGGUUAGGUAGAGAAUACUAAGGCGAUCGAGUGAAUCGUGGUUAAGGAAUUCGGCAAAAUGCCCCCGUAACUUCGGGAGAAGGGGGGCCCAAACCUUGAAGCCCGUACGGGCUAGGGGUGAGGGUCGCAGAGACCAGGGAGAAGCGACUGUUUACUAAAAACACAGGUCCGUGCGAAGAAGUAAUUCGAUGUAUACGGACUGACGCCUGCCCGGUGCUGGAAGGUUAAGAGGAC